rnacentral:rRNA from 1 species
AGAGUUUGAUCCUGGCUCAGAUUGAACGCUGGCGGCAUGCCUUACACAUGCAAGUCGAACGGUAGAAGGAGCAAUCCUUCGAGAGUGGCGAACGGGUGAGUAAUAUAUCGGAACGUGCCCAGUCGUGGGGGAUAACGUAGAGAAAUUUACGCUAAUACCGCAUACGAUCUAAGGAUGAAAGCGGGGGACUCUGCAAGGGGCCUUGCGCGACUGGAGCGGCUGAUAUCAGAUUAGGUUGUUGGUGAGGUAAAAGCUCACCAAGCCGACGAUCUGUAGCUGGUUUGAGAGAACGACCAGCCACACUGGGACUGAGACACGGCCCAGACUCCUACGGGAGGCAGCAGUGGGGAAUUUUGGACAAUGGGCGCAAGCCUGAUCCAGCAAUGCCGCGUGCAGGAAGAAGGCCUUCGGGUUGUAAACUGCUUUUGUACGGAACGAAACGGUCUGCCUUAAUACGGUGGGCUAAUGACGGUACCGUAAGAAUAAGCACCGGCUAACUACGUGCCAGCAGCCGCGGUAAUACGUAGGGUGCGAGCGUUAAUCGGAAUUACUGGGCGUAAAGCGUGCGCAGGCGGUGAUGUAAGACAGUUGUGAAAUCCCCGGGCUCAACCUGGGAAUUGCCAUCUGUGACUGCAUCGCUAAGAGUACGGUAGAGGGGGAUGGAAUUCCGCGUGUAAGCAGUGAAAUGCGUAGAUAUGCGGAGGAACACCGAUUGGNGAAGGCAAUCCCCUGGAACUGUAACUGAGCUCAUG